UUUUAGCCCUGAUCGAAGUGAAAAUCCUUUUUAUUUUUUCUUUAAAAAUAAAAAGAUUGUAACGGAGAGCAGGACUCAUC
rnacentral:sRNA from 1 species